rnacentral:rRNA from 1 species
UACGUAGGGUGCAAGCGUUAAUCGGAAUUACUGGGCGUAAAGCGUGCGCAGGCGGUUUUGUAAGACAGGCGUGAAAUCCCCGGGCUCAACCUGGGAAUUGCGCUUGUGGCUGCAAAGCUGGAGUGCGGCAGAGGGGGAUGGAAUUCCGCGUGUAGCAGUGAAAUGCGUAGAUAUGCGGAGGAACACCGAUGGCGAAGGCAAUCCCCUGGGCCUGCACUGACGCUCAUGCACGAAAGCGUGGGGAGCAAACAGG